UUAAUCGCUGCUAGAGCGGACCCAGUUCUUUAUCAUUGGUAUAUGCUGGGGCAAUUACUGUUAUAAAUCCACAAACCGUACUAUCUACAAAUAUUAUGGUUGACAUCAAAAAGCUUUAAAUGGAAUGAAACUUGUGCAGAAGAAAUCGAG